rnacentral:tmRNA from 1 species
GGGGCUGAUUCUGGAUUCGACGGGAUUUGCGAAACCCAAGGUGCAUGCCGAGGGGCGGUUGGCCUCGUAAAAAGCCGCAAAAAAUAGUCGCAAACGACGAAAACUACGCUUUAGCAGCUUAAUAACCUGCUUAGAGCCCUCUCUCCCUAGCCUCCGCUCUUAGGACGGGGAUCAAGAGAGGUCAAACCCAAAAGAGAUCGCGUGGAAGCCCUGCCUGGGGUUGAAGCGUUAAAACUUAAUCAGGAUAGUUUGUUAGUGGCGUGUCCGUCCGCAGCUGGCAAGCGAAUGUAAAGACUGACUAAGCAUGUAGUACCGAGGAUGUAGGAAUUUCGGACGCGGGUUCAACUCCCGCCAGCUCCACCA